rnacentral:rRNA from 1 species
UACGAAGGGGGCUAGCGUUGCUCGGAAUCACUGGGCGUAAAGGGCGCGUAGGCGGCCUUCUAAGUCGGACGUGAAAUCCCUCGGCUUAACCGAGGAACUGCGUCUGAUACUGGAAGGCUUGAAUCCGGGAGAGGGAUGUGGAAUUCCAGGUGUAGCGGUGAAAUGCGUAGAUAUCUGGAGGAACACCGGUGGCGAAGGCGGCAUCCUGGACCGGCAUUGACGCUGAGGCGCGAAAGCUAGGGGAGCAAACGGG